AGAGUUUGAUUAUGGCUCAGGAUGAACGCUAGCGAUAGGCCUAACACAUGCAAGUCGAGGGGCAGCACAUGAAGUAGCAAUACGGAUGGUGGCGACCGGCGCACGGGUGAGUAACGCGUAUGCAACCUGCCUACAACAGGGGAAUAACCCGUUGAAAGACGGACUAAUACCCCAUAACACAGGGAUCCCGCAUGGGAAUAUUUGUUAAAGAUUUAUCGGUUGUAGAUGGGCAUGCGUUCCAUUAGCUUGUUGGUGAGGUAACGGCUCACCAAGGCAACGAUGGAUAGGGAAACUGAGAGGUUUAUCCCCCACACUGGUACUGAGACACGGACCAGACUCCUACGGGAGGCAGCAGUGAGGAAUAUUGGUCAAUGGACGCAAGUCUGAACCAGCCACGUCGCGUGAAGGAAGACGGCCCUACGGGUUGUAAACUUCUUUUGUAAGGGAAUAAAGUGCAGUACGUGUACUGUUUUGCAUGUACCUUACGAAUAUGGAUCGGCUAACUCCGUGCCAGCAGCCGCGGUAAUACGGAGGAUCCGAGCGUUAUCCGGAUUUAUUGGGUUUAAAGGGUGCGCAGGCGGGAGAUUAAGUCGGCGGUGAAAUUUUGCAGCUCAACUGUAAAAGUGCCUUCGAAACUGGUUUUCUUGAGUGUGGAUGAAGUAGGCGGAAUUUGUGGUGUAGCGGUGAAAUGCAUAGAUAUCACGAGGAACUCCGAUUGCGCAGACAGCUUACUAAACCAUAACUGACGCUCAGGCACGAAGGCGUGGGGAUCAAACAGGAUUAGAUACCCUGGUAGUC
rnacentral:rRNA from 1 species